rnacentral:rRNA from 1 species
CAACCAGGGGAUUGCCCCAGUAACGGCGAGUGAAGCGGCAACAGCUCAAAUUUGAAAUCUGGCUUCGGCCCGAGUUGUAAUUUGCAGAGGAUGCUUUUGGCGCGGUGCCUUCCGAGUUCCCUGGAACGGGACGCCAUAGAGGGUGAGAGCCCCGUCUGGUUGGACACCAAGCCUGUGUAAUACUCCUUCGACGAGUCGAGUAGUUUGGGAAUGCUGCUCUAAAUGGGAGGUAAAUCUCUUCUAAAGCUAAAUACCGGCCAGAGACCGAUAGCGCACAAGUAGAGUGAUCGAAAGAUGAAAAGCACCUUGAAAAGGGGGUUAAACAGUACGUGAAAUUGUUGAAAGGGAAGCGUUUAUGACCAGACUUGUGCCGUGUGGCUCAUCCGGGGUUCUCCCCGGUGCACUCCAUACGGUUCAGGCCAACAUCGGUUCUCGUUGGGGGAUAAGAACAGUAGGAACGUGGCCCUCUUCGGAGGGUGUUAUAGCCUAUUGUACGAUACCUUGAUGGGGACCGAGGACCGCGCUUCGGCUAGGAUGUUGGCGUAAUGGUCAUUAGCGACCCGUCUUGAAACACGGACCAAGGAGUCGUCCAUUAGAGCGAGCGUUUGGGUGUAAAACCCGCACGCGUAAUGAAAGUGAAAUUAGGUGAGAGCUUCGGCGCAUCAUCGACCGAUCCUGAAGUUUACGGAUGGAUUUGAGUAAGAGUUUUAACGGACGGACCCGAAAGACAGUGAACUAUGCUUGAAUAGGGUGAAGCCAGAGGAAACUCUGGUGGAGGCUCGCAGCGGUUCUGACGUGCAAAUCGAUCGUCAAAUAUGGGCAUGGGGGCGAAAGACUAAU